rnacentral:SRP_RNA from 1 species
UAUAUCGUGCAAUGGAAGUGUUUGAACCAGGUCAGGAUCGGAAGGUAGCAGCCUUAAGGACCUCCUUCCAUGUGCACUUUUUUAUU